CGGGACGGGUGAGUAACGCGUGGAUAACCUGCCUCACACGGGGGGAUAACAGUUAGAAAUGACUGCUAAUACCGCAUAAGCGCACGGUACCGCAUGGUACAGUGUGAAAAACUCCGGUGGUGUGAGAUGGAUCCGCGUCUGAUUAGGUAGUUGGUGAGGUAACGGCCCACCAAGCCGACGAUCAGUAGCCGACCUGAGAGGGUGAUCGGCCACAUUGGGACUGAGACACGGCCCAA
rnacentral:rRNA from 1 species